GAUGAACGCUGGCGGCGUGCCUAAUACAUGCAAGUCGAGCGAACAGACGAGGAGCUUGCUCCUCUGACGUUAGCGGCGGACGGGUGAGUAACACGUGGAUAACCUACCUAUAAGACUGGGAUAACUUCGGGAAACCGGAGCUAAUACCGGAUAAUAUAUUGAACCGCAUGGUUCAAUAGUGAAAGACGGUGUUGCUGUCACUUAUAGAUGGAUCCGCGCCGCAUUAGCUAGUUGGUAAGGUAACGGCUUACCAAGGCAACGAUGCGUAGCCGACCUGAGAGGGUCAUCGGCCACACUGGAACUGAGACACGGUCCAGACUCCUACGGGAGGCAGCAGUAGGGAAUCUUCCGCAAAGGGCGAAAGCCUGACGGAGCAACGCCGCGUGAGUGAUGAAGGUCUUCGGAUCGUAAAACUCUGUUAUUAGGGAAGAACAAAUGUGUAAGUAACUAUGCACGUCUUGACGGUACCUAAUCAGAAAGCCACGGCUAACUACGUG
rnacentral:rRNA from 1 species